rnacentral:rRNA from 1 species
AAAUUGAAGAGUUUGAUCAUGGCUCAGAUUGAACGCUGGCGGCAGGCCUAACACAUGCAAGUCGAACGGUAACAGGAAACAGCUUGCUGUUUCGCUGACGAGUGGCGGACGGGUGAGUAAUGUCUGGGAAACUGCCUGAUGGAGGGGGAUAACUACUGGAAACGGUAGCUAAUACCGCAUAACGUCGCAAGACCAAAGAGGGGGACCUUCGGGCCUCUUGCCAUCGGAUGUGCCCAGAUGGGAUUAGCUUGUUGGUGGGGUAACGGCUCACCAAGGCGACGAUCCCUAGCUGGUCUGAGAGGAUGACCAGCCACACUGGAACUGAGACACGGUCCAGACUCCUACGGGAGGCAGCAGUGGGGAAUAUUGCACAAUGGGCGCAAGCCUGAUGCAGCCAUGCCGCGUGUAUGAAGAAGGCCUUCGGGUUGUAAAGUACUUUCAGCGGGGAGGAAGGGAGUAAAGUUAAUACCUUUGCUCAUUGACGUUACCCGCAGAAGAAGCACCGGCUAACUCCGUGCCAGCAGCCGCGGUAAUACGGAGGGUGCAAGCGUUAAUCGGAAUUACUGGGCGUAAAGCGCACGCAGGCGGUUUGUUAAGUCAGAUGUGAAAUCCCCGGGCUCAACCUGGGAACUGCAUCUGAUACUGGCAAGCUUGAGUCUCGUAGAGGGGGGUAGAAUUCCAGGUGUAGCGGUGAAAUGCGUAGAGAUCUGGAGGAAUACCGGUGGCGAAGGCGGCCCCCUGGACGAAGACUGACGCUCAGGUGCGAAAGCGUGGGGAGCAAACAGGAUUAGAUACCCUGGUAGUCCACGCCGUAAACGAUGUCGACUUGGAGGUUGUGCCCUUGAGGCGUGGCUUCCGGAGCUAACGCGUUAAGUCGACCGCCUGGGGAGUACGGCCGCAAGGUUAAAACUCAAAAAGAAUUGACGGGGGCCCGCACAAGCGGUGGAGCAUGUGGUUUAAUUCGAUGCAACGCGAAGAACCUUACCUGGUCUUGACAUCCACGGAAGUUUUCAGAGAUGAGAAUGUGCCUUCGGGAACCGUGAGACAGGUGCUGCAUGGCUGUCGUCAGCUCGUGUUGUGAAAUGUUGGGUUAAGUCCCGCAACGAGCGCAACCCUUAUCCUUUGUUGCCAGCGGUCCGGCCGGGAACUCAAAGGAGACUGCCAGUGAUAAACUGGAGGAAGGUGGGGAUGACGUCAAGUCAUCAUGGCCCUUACGACCAGGGCUACACACGUGCUACAAUGGCGCAUACAAAGAGAAGCGACCUCGCGAGAGCAAGCGGACCUCAUAAAGUGCGUCGUAGUCCGGAUUGGAGUCUGCAACUCGACUCCAUGAAGUCGGAAUCGCUAGUAAUCGUGGAUCAGAAUGCCACGGUGAAUACGUUCCCGGGCCUUGUACACACCGCCCGUCACACACACCAUGGAGUGGGUUGCAAAAGAAGUAGGUAGCUUAACCUUCGGGAGGGCGCUUACCACUUUGUGAUUCAUGACUGGGGUGAAGUCGUAACAAGGUAACCGUAGGGGAACCUGCGGUUGGAUCACCUCCUUA